UCCAAAAUAUCAAUGGUGAUGGACAUGAA
rnacentral:piRNA from 1 species